rnacentral:piRNA from 1 species
UCCCUACUUCAGAGUGAAUUUUUAUAAUGA